rnacentral:tRNA from 1 species
AGACAACAAAAUGUUUAAUAUUAUUAUUUUGUCACCUUAGGUCGAUCGGUAUCUCACGUUUUUAAUUUAUUAAGAAUUUCAUUUCCUAAGUUUUUCUAGGUCACACCCAUUAUUUUUCCUGGGCCAUUAGCUCAGGUGGUUAGAGCGCACCCCUGAUAAGGGUGAGGUCCCUGGUUCAAGUCCAGGAUGGCCCAUAUCUCUAUGUUGGGGGUAUAGCUCAGUUGGUAGAGCGCCUGCUUUGCAAGCAGGAUGUCAGCGGUUCGAGUCCGCUUACCUCCACUGAUUACCACCUCUUCCAUAACCGGUAGCAAAGGAAAUUUUUUGAGAUGUGAUCAAAUUCUGAAAGAAUCUAGCUUCCUAAUGAAAUCAUUAAGAUGCUGGACUCAUUGAAUUAAUUUCAUUGUUUUCAGAGAACCUUGACAACUGCAUAGAUUAUUUUUAAAGACAAUAAGCAUCUUUAAUGAUGCAGAUUUAUUAUUUGUGCGAAUGCAUUAAUAACAAUUCUAUUAAGCUGAUGCUUCAAUUUUGAAGUUAUU